rnacentral:lncRNA from 1 species
GAUUGAGGGAGUACUUCAGGGACAAAUGAAAGAAAGAUCUGUAAGCUAUGGCACUGUUGUGCUCUUCUAUUUGUGUGCACCAAAGGAUUGAGGAGAGCUAACUGCAGUGACCCAUUCCAUAUACUGGCAUAGCUAGGCUUCCAUGAGUUGUAGUCUUGCAUAUAGCAUUACAGCUCUCAACAAAGCGUCUGAGCUUCUUCAUCCGGGAGCGAGCAUCAUCAUGAAGAUUUCUUUCUUCGCCAAUGUUUAUGAAUGAUCAAUGUUUCCUUUCCA